rnacentral:lncRNA from 1 species
AUUUUACGUGACAAGAAUAAAACGCGCCGAGACCUUCACUUCGUCCAUUUUGGAGCAGCUUCUUCUUUGGUGAGGUGUUGCGCUGUAUCUAUAUCAACUGUAGUGUAGUUGUUCAGCUUUUUAUUUCGCCUUUUUCUACAAAAGGUUCUUAAGUUAUAUAUAUAUAUAUAUAUAUAUAUGUCCCUCUUUUCUUUCUUCGUAUGCAUUUAAACGUUUAUUUCACUCCGUAGCCCUUUAGUAGAUAGCUUCUGGGUGUUUCCAUUCCGUUGGCCCACGAGCCUCUGAUUUGUAUCUAAAACCAUCCUGGGUUAAUUAUUGCUAUUAUUUGACAUCUUCCCAUUAUUAUCAAAGUUGACAUGUUACUGUAGCGUAAUUGAGACGUAUUUGUUACUGGUUUGCUUUUUUUAAGGCGUUGGCGAGAUCUCUCAAUGAUGAUAACUUUCACAGACCUGUACUGAAAUGCUGUGAUUGCACUUUAUUUAUCUGAGGAGAGACUGGCGUGAAGAAUUGUAUUGUAAACCCUCCGUGUUGUGAAAGCUUCAAAUGCAAACACGUGUCUCAACUGUACGGUUUUCUUUUGCAGCUGUGUCGACCACGAUGAGCAUGAAUUGCAUGGGCUCAUGGGAAGUUUCUGUGCCAUCUGCUGGGAUGAGUAGACCAAGAUCGGUUAAAUUCAAGGCCUCCUUCACAUGA